GAAAUGCGAUAAGUAAUGCGAAUUGCAGAAUUCCGUGAGUCAUCGAAUCUUUGAACGCACAUUGCGCCCUUUGGUAUUCCGAAGGGCAUGCCUGUUCGAGCGUCAUUAUCCACCUCUCAAGCCUGGCUUGUUAUUGGGUCUCCUCAUCAUCACAGAUGGGCCCGAAAGAUAAUGGCGGCGUCGUCCUCGACCCCCGGUGCAGCGAGCUUACAGCAUACACUGAGGCGGGCGUGGGCGAGCUGGCCUUGAUCGUCUGAGCGGGUUCGUCCCCCUCAAACACUUUUAUCAGGUUGACCUCGGAUCAGGUAGGAAUACCCGCUGAACUUAA
rnacentral:misc_RNA from 1 species